CCUACGGGUGGCAGCAGUGAGGAAUAUUGGUCAAUGGGCGGAAGCCUGAACCAGCCACGUAGCGUGCAGGAUGACGGCCCUACGGGUUGUAAACUGCUUUUAUACGGGAAUAACGCGCCUUACGUGUAGGGCUUUGCAUGUACCGCAUGAAUACGGAACGGCUAAUUUCGCGUCAGCAGCCGCGGUUAUACGGAAGGUCAGGGCGUUAUCCGGAUGUAUUGGGUGUAAAGGGAGCGUAGGCCGCAGUGCAAGCGUGCUGUGAAAUGUCCGGGCUCAACCCGGGCCUUGCAGCGCGAACUGGCGUGCGUGAGUCCACGGAGAGCAGGCGGAAUUCGUCGUGUAGCGGUGAAAUGCUUAGAUAUGACGAAGAACCCCGAUUGCGAAGGCAGCUUGCUGGAGCGGAACUGACGCUGAUGCUCGAAAGCGCGGGUAUCGAACAGGAUUAGAUACCCUUGUAGUC
rnacentral:rRNA from 1 species